AAAGUCAGAUUUUACUUGACCUAGCUUGGCUGUUUUAAAAAGUGAAAUUUCAAUCCUGCCAUUCCUGCCUAAUAUAUAUAAUGUAAUGUAAAAGUAAGUGAACAUAAAGGGUAUAGUACUCAUAAAGGGUGGGAAACGAGGACAAAUUAAUAUUUUUAAAGAUACAUUUUAUUAUAAAUCAUGCUCAAUCACACUUUAAGCCUAAGGUUUAACAGUCAACUGAUGUUAGAGAAUGCCCUACUCCACCAACCACAGAUUCAACAACUGUGAAUUUCUUUUGUUAACCUGGCACCUAUUAUUAGGUCACUAUUCCUGUAGCUAUUGUUACACCAAUUACAACAACCACCUAUUUGGUGUUAUCAGAUGUGUGGUAUCCUGUCUAAGUCUUUGUUUAUAUGAGACAAAUGCAAGCAGCAAAUGAGUGAAGGCUGUAUACUAUCAAGUCAGUUUAAAUUCAGGAGCAUAGUGGAAGAGUACAGAGUAUAGAAAAAUUGGAUUGAGGAAGUGAUCUUAGAGAGUAGACAACAUACAGAACCUGGCAUGACAAGACUGGAAGGGACACUCUGCUGUGAAUAUCUAUAGUUGGUGGCUCAUCGAAACACUCACAAAGUGUACCAAAAUUCUAGUACCUUUGUGAUAAAGAAGUUACUAGAGAGUUUUUUCAGCCCACAAGAACUGUCAGCAACAGUUUCUUUUGUGAAGGAUUCUCUAGUUGAAAGAGCUGUGCAGAAUGGACGGAGCAGGACAGGAUGAGUAAAGAAGAGAAAUUUGGCAGAAAGAUGUAAAGAAGAGAAAUAUGGACAUGGCUUGGAUUUUGAUGAUUUUGUUCGAUUUUUUAAUUUGAUUAAUAAAGCACAAUAUAUGACUGUAA